AUACGAAGGGUGCAAGCGUUACUCGGAAUUACUGGGCGUAAAGCGUGCGUAGGUGGUUGUUUAAGUCUGUCGUGAAAGCCCUGGGCUCAACCUGGGAAUGGCGAUGGAAACUGGGCGACUAGAGUGUGGCAGAGGGUAGUGGAAUUCCUGGUGUGGCAGUGAAAUGCGUAGAGAUCAGGAGGAACAUCCGUGGCGAAGGCGACUGCCUGGGCCAACACUGACACUGAGGCACGAAAGCGUGGGGAGCAAACAGGAUUAGAUACCCUGGUAGUCCACGCCCUAAACGAUGCGAACUGGAUGUUGGGUGCAAUUUGGCACGCAGUAUCGAAGCUAACGCGUUAAGUUCGCCGCCUGGGGAGUACGGUCGCAAGACUGAAACUCAAAGGAAUUGACGGGG
rnacentral:rRNA from 1 species